rnacentral:rRNA from 1 species
AUUGAACGCUGGCGGCAUGCUUUACACAUGCAAGUCGAACGGUAACAGGUUAAGCUGACGAGUGGCGAACGGGUGAGUAAUGCAUCGGAACGUGCCCGAUCGUGGGGGAUAACGCAGCGAAAGCUGCGCUAAUACCGCAUACGAUCUGAGGAUGAAAGCGGGGGACCGUAAGGCCUCGCGCGAUCGGAGCGGCCGAUGUCAGAUUAGGUAGUUGGUGGGGUAAAGGCCCACCAAGCCGACGAUCUGUAGCUGGUCUGAGAGGACGACCAGCCACACUGGGACUUAGACACGGCCCAGACUCCUACGGGAGGCAGCAGUGGGGAAUUUUGGACAAUGGGCGAAAGCCUGAUCCAGCAAUGCCGCGUGCAGGGAGAAGGCCUUCGGGUUGUAAACUGCUUUUGUACGGAGCGAAAAGGUCCUUUCUAAUACAAGGGGCUCAUGACGGUACCGUAAGAAUAAGCACCGGCUAACUACGUGCCAGCCGCCGCGGUAA